CACGUAGGGCGCAAGCGUUGUCCGGAAUUAUUGGGCGUAAAGCGCGCGCAGGCGGUCCUUUAAGUCUGAUGUGAAAGCCCACGGCUCAACCGUGGAGGGUCAUUGGAAACUGGGGGACUUGAGUACAGAAGAGAAGAGUGGAAUUCCACGUGUAGCGGUGAAAUGCGUAGAGAUGUGGAGGAACACCAGUGGCGAAGGCGACUCUUUGGUCUGUAACUGACGCUGAGGCGCGAAAGCGUGGGGAGCAAACAGG
rnacentral:rRNA from 1 species